rnacentral:rRNA from 1 species
AUUGAACGCUGGCGGCAGGCUUAACACAUGCAAGUCGAGCGAGCGGCGGACGGGUGAGUAAUGUAUGGGAACCUGCCUGAUGGAGGGGGAUAACUACUGGAAACGGUAGCUACUACCGCAUACCAUCAGAUGUGCCCAGAUGGGAUUAGCUAGUAGGUGGGGUAAUGGCUCACCUAGGCGACGAUCCCUAGCUGGUCUGAGAGGAUGAACGGCCACACUGGGACGGAGACACGGCCCCGACUCCUACGGGAGGCAGCAGUGGGGAAUAUUGCACAAUGGGGGCAAGCCUGAUGCAGCCAUGCCGCGUGUGUGAAGAAGGCCUUCGGGUUGUAAAGCACUUUCAGCUAGGAGGCGUUACUCGCAGAAGAAGCACCGGCUAACUCCGUGCCAGCAGCCGCGGUAAUAC